CCAACGGCCCUCCUUAGGGCCACAAAAACUAAGUCAAUCGUUUCAU
rfam:Syphacia muris strain Valencia genome assembly, scaffold: SMTV_contig0000838